UACGAAGGGGGCUAGCGUUGCUCGGAAUCACUGGGCGUAAAGGGUGCGUAGGCGGGUCUUUAAGUCAGGGGUGAAAUCCUGGAGCUCAACUCCAGAACUGCCUUUGAUACUGAAGAUCUUGAGUUCGGGAGAGGUGAGUGGAACUGCGAGUGUAGAGGUGAAAUUCGUAGAUAUUCGCAAGAACACCAGUGGCGAAGGCGGCUCUCUGGACCGAGACUGACGCUGAGGCGCGAAAGCGUGGGGAGCAAACAGGG
rnacentral:rRNA from 1 species